AUGCACGCUAGCGGCAGGCCUAAUACAUGCAAGUCGAACGAGAUUAAGAGGCUUGCUUCUUAUGAAAGUGGCGCACGGGUGCGUAACGCGUAUGCAACCUACCUUAAUCAGGGGGAUAGCCCGAAGAAAUUCGGAUUAAGACCGCAUAAAAACACAGGAUAGCAUUAUCCAAUGUUCAAAUAUUUAUAGGAUUAAGAUGGGCAUGCGUGUCAUUAGCUAGUUGGCGGGGUAACGGCCCACCAAGGCGACGAUGACUAGGGGAUCUGAGAGGAUGACCCCCCACACUGGUACUGAGACACGGACCAGACUCCUACGGGAGGCAGCAGUAAGGAAUAUUGGUCAAUGGAGGGAACUCUGAACCAGCCAUGCCGCGUGCAGGAAGACAGCCCUCUGGGUCGUAAACUGCUUUUAUUCGGGAAUAAACCUUUCUACGUGUAGGAAGCUGAAUGUACCGAAGGAAUAAGGAUCGGCUAACUCCGUG
rnacentral:rRNA from 1 species